UUGCUCCUGUGACGCGAGUGGCGGACGGGUGAGUAACACGUAGGCAACCUGCCCAUCAGACUGGGAUAACCACGGGAAACCGUGGCUAAUACCGGAUAACCCUUUUCCACACAGGUGGGAAAGUUGAAAGGCGGCUUCGGCUGUCACUGAUGGAUGGGCCUGCGGCGCAUUAGCUGGUUGGUGGGGUAACGGGCCCCCCAAGGGACGAUGCGUAGCCGACCUGAGAGGGUGAUCGGCCACACUGGGACUGAGACACG
rnacentral:rRNA from 1 species